rnacentral:rRNA from 1 species
UACGGAGGGUGCAAGCGUUGUCCGGAAUCACUGGGCGUAAAGGGCGCGUAGGCGGCCUGGUAAGUAGGGGGUGAAAUCCUGCGGCUUAACCGCAGGGCUGCCUUCUAAACUGUCAGGCUUGAGCACGGUAGAGGCAGAUGGAAUUCCCGGUGUAGCGGUGGAAUGCGUAGAGAUCGGGAAGAACAUCAGUGGCGAAGGCGGCUUUUUGGUCUGUAACUGACGCUGAGGCGCGAAAGCGUGGGGAGCAAACAGG